UUGCACAAUGGGCGCUAAGCCUGAUGCAGCCAUGCCGCGUGUAUGAAGAAGGCCUUCGGGUUGUAAAGUACUUUCAGCAGUGAGGAAGGUGGGUAUGUUAAUAGCAUAUUCAUUUGACGUUAGCUGCAGAAGAAGCACCGGCUAACUCCGUGCCAGCAGUCGCGGUAAUACGGAGGGUGCGAGCGUUAAUCGGAAUUACUGGGCGUAAAGCGCAUGCAGGUGGUUUGUUAAGUCAGAUGUGAAAGCCCGGGGCUCAACCUCGGAAUUGCAUUUGAAACUGGCAAACUAGAGUACUGUAGAGGGGGGUAGAAUUUCAGGUGUAGCGGUGAAAUGCGUAGAGAUCUGAAGGAAUACCGGUGGCGAAGGCGGCCCCCCUGGACAGAUACUGACACUCAGAUGCGAAAGCGUGGGGAGCAAACAGGAUUAGAUACCCUGGUAA
rnacentral:rRNA from 1 species